GUAUUUAGCGGGAUUUUUUAUGAUAUCGAGUAGCGGAUUAUAGAUGUCAAUGUAGACCACUCUCGAGUUUGGUAGGUUUUUGUUAAGGCGAUCCAUCUCCACAUUGAGCUUGGAAUUGAACAGCUGGCAUGCUUGGUUUUGUCUUUCAUCACAAUCUCUUUCUAUGCCUCCAUUUACCGUUCGUUGUGAUGGUACACAUCCGAUAGGUGGUGCACUUAGUACACCUAUUCUUCGUACCCCCAAUCCAUACAAGUCCUACAAAAUUCAUAACUUUGCUAUAUCAAUUAAAUAGUGAAAAGAUGCACAUUUUUCAUUUUUAGCAAUUUGUAUCACGAAAAUACGCACCUUGACGAAAUCAGAGGCAUGUUUGAGCAUGAAGUCGGUGUAAGAAGGAACGUCAUACUCCAAUCUCCUAGCACCGGUAAGAAAAUAGGUAUAAGAAAUAUCGUUGCUGCCGGCUACCACAAAAAUUAGACUGUUUUUUAUAAUGAAGUUUGUUUUCUCCUCUCCAACAAUUCCUUUCAGCUUUUCUAUGUACUCCUUGAACUGUUUUAUUUGGUCGGAUAGCGAUGCAACUACCUACACAAUCGAAUUCCAGAAUUAAUGAAGGAGGAAAAAAUAAAAUUAACAAAAGAAUAAAGGAUUAGAGCUUUAAAUAUAUAGGUCAUACCCCGAGUUUUGCUGUCAAUGGAUCAUAACCUACAGCACCGUUAGCCAUGACAACACCGGUAAGGAGGUCAUUAGGCUGCAGGGUUGGAUCCAAAUAUGCCGGCAACAGCUCCUUGAUUCCGAAUGCUUCCACUGGACAUGAAAAAAAAAUCGUAACAUAGAGGAGGGUUAAUUGAACAUUUUAUUGUAUAAGAGAAUAUUUCGGAAUAUUUGGGACAAAAUUAGAGAUAAAAAGUAUUAUAUUCUCGGAUUUUUCACAAAAAACUAGGAGUUAGCGCACAGUUUUUUAUCGGUUUUACGAAGUUCUACAAAAGCAAAGCCACAAUGGCUACUAGUUAGUAAUCUUUUAUUAGUGUUUAAUGGUAGUGAUGAUGAUGACGACGAUGAUUGUGAUGAUGAUCGUGAUGACAACCUAUGAAGUCUGAGGGAACCUUUCCAUUGGAAUAUCUGCCGGUUGGCAUUCCUCCCUUGAGGUCUUUUCCAUAGGGUAAGAAAUUGCAGCGUGCAAAUGUCACGAAGUUUUUGUUGUUGUUGCCGGUAUCAACAAUUGAAUCUCCGAAUACAAUAACAGCCGGGAUAGUCACAUUCUCCGGUAGCUUGACUGUUGCGGCUGCCUCAGUAACGUUACUCAUACUAAUAAUAUUGCAGAAGAAAAUCACGAAAAUUACAUAUGACGACUGCAUCUGCAGCCUGAUCAGUUUAGGAAUAAACAGACCUAGUCCUCCUGCAUCUGCAUGCAUUCUGGACAAUUAAAUCCCCCAGUUGUAGGUACACAAAAAUAAAUGAUCGAAAAGAUAUGAGCAUAAACUUGUGGGUCUUUAAUUUCCGAUUGUGAAUUUAUAUUAGUUUUCGAUUGUUUCUUGUGAAUUUAAUCAAUUUAUAUGUGAAUGUUUAUUGUGUUUGUUGUGAAUUUAUAUUAGUUUCCGAUUGUUUCUGGUGAAUUUUAUAUGAUUGGCUGUUGUGUUUGUUGUAAAUUUAUACACAAAAAAAGUUGAGGUUGCCCACAUCCCUCGUAUAAACCAUUUUAUACACAAAGACAGUUGAGGUUGCCCGCAUCCCUCUUAUAAACCCUUUUAUACACAAAGAAAGUUUAGGUUGCCUACACAAAGAAAGUUGGACUACAUCCCUCUUAUAAGUCUUUGCAUGUUUGGUCUCACACGUCGUGUCGUCAUUAGGUUUCAUACGUGAGCUAACAUGCUAUGUUCCACCAUUAAACUAAUUAACGAUAUGAUAAGUAUUUCAAUCUCUUAUAUGAUUUAAUCUCACACCAAUGUGAAAUUUUGUCCUCACAUCUUCACAAUAUAUACGUAUAGAUCGAGUCAUAGAUUUUUCUCAAGCAAGCUUCAGUCGAUGGCGUCCAUUUAUUAACAACGCAAAUAAAUAGUCGGUUGUUUUAACUUUUUUCAACAUGCAAUAAUUAAUUUAGGUGGCUUAAUAGGCUCUCCAUACUGAUACAGAGCUAAAAGAUAAAAAAAUUAUUUUCUACAUUAGAGAACAAUUUUAAUGAAAGUUUCGACAAAUGUCUCAUGCAUCAGUUCAUGCAUAAUGUCAUUUUAUUUUAUUUUAAAAUAUACGAUUCUAAUAUAACUAAGAGAAAGCAGGCUUUAAUUAGGCUAUGUUUUGAGUGAAAUACAAAUGAGGAAGACAUAAAGCUAAACUUCGUUGAUGGAAAUAACAUAUAUAGCAAGUAACACGAUAGGGGAACUUCACUUACAAAGAAAAUAUAUGAUAAAAAUCAUCUAAAACAAUAGUUGGUAGAAGUAGAAAGAUCAUGAAUAUAAGCAAACGUUACACAUGAAGGAACGUUGGACUAGACCACCAAUAAUAUGGAUCAUGAUCUGUACAAAAAGUUAGCUAAGGCAUCGGCUACACACUUGCCCUCGCGAAAAAUAUGGGAAACAAAAACAUGCAUAUGCCUAACUGCCCACAAGCAAUUGCUCCAAUCAACAUGCAAAUACCAAGGAAUAACUAGGAAAGUUUACGUAGUGAAUCACCAUAGUUGAGUCCGUCUCCAACCAAAUGUGAUUAACCUUCAAGUUCCAAUGAAAUUUAGGUCAAGUGAGAAAAAAACUACUUUACAAAGUUGUAGCGUUUGUUUAGAAGUGCUAUUAAAGUGACUAAAAACGCUUUUGGUAAAAAUGUUGUUUAGACCAAUUCUGAAUAAAAAUACAAGUGAAACCUCAAAAAGCAGUUGAAGUGCUUCUUACGCAAUUUGGCUGUUGUGGUAGUGGAACAAUAGAAACUGGUUUAUUGUGAAGCCAAUUCAGUCCGUUCACAUGUACAAAUUUCUCUAUAUAAUGUUUGUAUUCACUUUCACCCGAUCGACAGAAAGAGCUGCCGGUGCAGGAAACGUUGCUUCGCAGAUUCUUCAAAAAUAUUUCAAAAUUAGGUUUCUUGAUGCCGCCCUCGGUAUCUCAGUGGUCCCCACGUGUCAAACUCUCUAUUGGUCUAAUUCAUAUCGAUAAACAGAUCUAUGCAUCUAAACAUGUUUUUGUUCCGAAUAUGUACGUGUGAAUGAUUUCAAGAAGCUAUAUACAAUUCUUGUUUCUCUUGUUAAUAUGUCUGAUUUGUUUGUUUCAUAUAACAAAACCAUGUCGACCUAAAUCCUAAAGAAACACAUAACUCUUUGAUCAACCUAAGUCCAGAACAAAUCAAUUUUACAAAUUGUUAUUCCAAGCAGGGAAUUUGAAGGGUUUUAUUCAUUUGUAAAGAUAUAAUGAAUUGUUUCAGAUGAAGUGGCUGGUAUAAUUGUCUAGAAUCUGCUUCACAAUGAUCUUGUACGCUCUUUCGGUUGGAUGGUAGCUGUCCCAGAAAACAUACUUAGAGUCAUCUAUGCAGACUCCUGCAGGUUGGAGCUGGUUGCACAGUUUUGUCACUUCAAUGGUGCCAGUACCACAACACCCUUUAUUCGCAACUUCAAACCCUGUCGGGAUGGAUCAACACAAACAAAUAAAUCUUUACUAAUUUAUAAGAAAUGUAAUGGAGCUAGCUAGGUAGAGUAAAUGAAAUACCAUACCAUAUUUAGCGGGGUUUAUGAUGAGAUCGAGUAGCGAAUUGUAGAUGUCAAUGUAGACCACUCUCGAGUUUGGCAGGUUUUUGUUAAGGUGGUCCAUCUCCACAGAGAGCUUGGAAUUGAACAGUUGUGAUGCUUGGUUUUGUUUUUCGUCACAAUCUCUUCUUAUGCCUCCUUUUACAGUUCGUUGAGAAGGCACACAUCCGAUAGGUGGUGCACUUAGUACACCUAUUCUUCGUGCCCCCAAUCCAUACAAGUCCUACAAAAUUCAUAACUUUGCUAGCUACAUCAAUUAAAUUGCAAGGAAAUGUACAUUUUUCAUUUUUAGCAAUCUGAAUCAAGAAAAUACACACCUUGAUAAAAUCAGAGGCAUAUUUGAGCAUGAAGUCUGUGUAAGAAGGAACGUCAUACUCCAAUUCCCUAACACCGCUAAGAAAAUAGGUAUUAGAAAUAUCGUUGCUGCCGGCUACCACAAGAAUCAGACUGUUUUGUAUGAUGAAGUUUGUUUUCUCCUCUCCAACAAUUCCUUUCAGCUUUUCUAUGUACUCCUUGAACUGUUUCAAUUGGUCAGAUAGCGAUGCGACUGCCUACACAAUCGAAUUCCAGAAUUAAUGGAGGAAACAAAAUUAAAAUUAACAAAAGAACAAAGGAUUAGAGCUUAAAUAUAUAGGUCGUACCGCAAGUUUUGCUGUCAAUGGAUCAUAACCUGCACCACCGGCAGCUAUGACAACACCGGUAAGGAGGUCAUUAGGCUGCAAGGUUGGAUCCAAAUAUGCCGGCAACAGCUCCUUGAUUCCGAAUGCUUCCACUGUACAUGAAAAAAAAAUCGUAACAUAGAGUAGGGUUAUUGAACAUUUUAUUGUAUGUGUGAAUAGUUAUUCAGAAUUUCUGGGACAAAAUUAAAGAUGAAAAUUAUAUUCUUGGAUUUUUCACAUAAAAACUAGGGUUAAUUGACCGGUUUUACGAAGUUGUACAAAAAGCAGAGGCUAGGGUUCAAAGUUUAUUCCUAACUCAAUUAUCAUAAUAAUACCAGUUAGUAAUCUUUUAUUAGCGUCCGAUGAUGAUGGUGAUGGUGAUGACAACCUAUGAAGUCUGUGGGAACCUUUCCAUUGGAAUAUCUGCCGGUUGGCAUUCCUCCCUUGAGGUCUUUUCCGUAGGGAAGGAAAUUGCAGCGUGCAAAUGUCUUGAAGUUUUCGUUGUUGUUGCCGGUAUCAACAAUCGAAUCUCCGAAUGCAAUAACAGCCGGGACAGUCACAUUCUUCGGCAGCUUGACUGUUGCAGCUGCCUCAAUGACGUUAUUCUUACUAAUAAUAUUGCAGAAGAAAAUCACGAAAAUUACAUAUGACUGCAUCUGCAGCCUGGCCAGUUUAGGACUAAAUAGCCCUAGUCCUCCUGCAACUGCAUGCAUCUGGACAAUAUCACCAAGUGGCAGGUACACAAAAAUAAAUGAUCUAAAAGAAAUGAGCAUAAUCUUGUGGUUCUACAGUUUAUAUAUGGUUAAGAUCGAGUCUGGACCCAAAAAAAGUUCGAGCCAUAGAUUUUUCUGAAGCGAAGCUGUCAGAUGGUAUUCAUUUAUUAACAACCCAAAUAAAUAUUUAGCUGUCAAAAAUUAAUGUUACUCUUAUCAUAUUUUUUACAUUAUAUUUGCACCACCUCUUUUAAUAAUGAUGGGACUUAGAUGUGUUGUUAGGCUCUACCUCAAUUAAAGAAGUGAUACAGAUGUUAUAUGAAAAAUAGAGAAUAUUUUUGUUCACCACCCUAUUUAUCAACGUUGAAUGAGUUUAAAUUUUGAUAUUUGUGUAGUGGAUAAACAGAAAUUACAAAAUUUAAACUCAUUAGGUUCGAUUUCCGCCAAAUAUAAAAUUGAACCACAUUAUUUUGACAAAUUCAUUGUAAGACUAAGCUCACUCCCUACCUUUAAUAUACAUACAAUCGUUUGCUCAAAACAUAAAUAAUAACAAUAUACAAUAAUGUGCAUUACCAGUAUUUGAGAUGGUAAGUGUAAGUGUGUAACGUCACUCUUCUUUGGUUGUUCUAAAUUUCAACAUGCAAUAAAUAUUUAGGUGGCUUAAUUGGGCUCUCCAGGCUGAGAUAUAUAACUGACAAGAUAAUAAGAGCACCCCAUCCCCCCGGCGCCCGACCACCCACCAUGCCAGAUAUAAAAUAAUAUUACAAUUCUCAACUAAAGCAUAAUUUAUGCAUAUGUGAUUAAACUAAUGCUAUUUUACGUGUUGAUGGCCGUCUAAUCAAUUAAAGAGGGAGCUCGAUGCUUAACCACCACCACGGCGGCUCUUAAUUGCUUGAUGAGGAAGUUGUUUGGCGGGGGAUCGUACCCUCUUGAUAUACAGUUGAGAAUUCAUAAAUAUCAAAUCAAUCAAUGUUGCGCGUCACUCUUAAUUAUAAGCUCUACUUUAAAGAUAUGUGGCAUGCAGGGCAUCUGCUUGUAAAUUUCGUGGUGUGGCUCUGCAUGUGAAUAUGAUGCAGUUGGAAGUUGACUUAUAACUAAAUGAGGAUCGGUAGAUUAUGUGACACGUCUCGAUCCUAAUAUUUUUAGAACAUCAAGAUAGGUACGUGCUAGCCGACAUCCGAAGAUGACGAAAAUCAUUUAUUAAAUACAAAUGCUGAUAACAAGAAUAAUUAAGACUUAUAAAUUUAGGAACGUGUUUAGAACAUACAACUAACUAGAACACUAAAAGAAAUAAUAUAAAAUUGAAUGAACAAAGGAAUGGGUCCUACACCGAGAUGACUCGAAAAUGCAGAUGCAGAAGUGCCUUAAAGCAGGGAUUGUACGCCUCGAUUCUAAGUCCUGAAGGGGCGCAAAACAAACAUGAGUGGACGAAGUUGAUAUAUAUAUAUAUAUAUAUAUAUAUAUAUAUAUAUAUAUUGUUUGUACCUUACUUAGGGUCUCCGUAUUUAGAUCUUGUAUAAAUACUCAGGGGACUCAAAUGUAAUUAUGUAAUAAAGGAAUGGGCAAAUAUGUAAUAAGUGAUGAACCCUUAUUCUAUAAAAUGACCCCUCACCCUCACAAUUAGGGAGAGCCUCCUCACUUCCAGAGGCCUCAUUCUCACCUCACAAACUCUCUCUCCCCCACAAUCCUCUCAGAGAAAUACAAUAUCAGUGUGGACGUAGCCCAAACAUUGGGGUGAACCACGAUACCUCCUGUGUUAUUUACUUCCUUGCAGAUUCACGGUCGGAUUUACGUUGUUCCAAGACCUCUCUGGUUUUGUGCAUCAACAUUUGGCGCCGUCUGUGGGAAUCGACACGAAAAACUAUGUCGGUUCUCUUUCAUUUUUUCACCUUCACCGUGAAUCUGCAAAAUCUGCAAAAAAAAACCAAGAAAACCAAACACCACGCCAAUAUUCUAAUUUGUCCUCCUCAUUGCCAGUGCUUUUCCACUUACUUUCCGAUCCACUUUCUCUUGCUUAGACUGGACUCUAUCUCCUCUGCCAUCCAUAGCGUCUGCAAGCUUUCUCAAAGCGAUCUCGUCCCUCUAUUUCUCCUGCUCAAAGCAACAAUCAGCAGCUAGAGCAAACCAACCACCCACAUGUCUCUCCUUUCUCCCGACGAUUCAAAACAGUACACUUCUCCUCUCUCAGCUACCCCUAGAGUUUCUCUCUCUCCAAUGGCAUUGGUGCAGAGCUACCUCUCUGCUUUUUCUUCCAUAACCUCGUGGUAUUCGACUUCGUUUUCUUCGCCGUCGUUGGCCUUCUCUUCCAUCGCCACCACUACACCCGUUUCCGUCGGUAGAUCGCCGUAGUGUCGCUGGAAAUGCUACGGAGAUGGGAGAAUUCGCUUCCAACAGUCUGUAUGCUGAGCGAUGGUUCAACAGGUUGUUCCCGGAGCUACUGUUGUUUAUGCUAAGGAAAUGGAAAGGCUUUCCGCUAAAGAAUCGCUUCUUCUCGCCACUUUUUUUUCUGGAGGCCUUUUGACGCAGAUAUUUGACUUUGAGCAGCGGAAGAGGCAACUAAGGUGAGGUUAAACCCACUUCUAUUUUCUGAACUUCCCGGCGCAAGAGACGAAAUAGACGGUGGAUUUAGAGGACCGUCAACGCUUCCAGAAAAUUUCGAAAGGAAAACAGUGUCCAAGUUCUGAAUCACAUCGAGGAGGGCAGGGUCGCCAUUCCUAAUCCUAUUGAGCACGGUGGAUACGCCAACGGGGUACUUUGACGGAGCUCUGGGAAGAAUGAGCACCAUAUACACGGCGAAAGCCAAGAUUCAAGCUACCCAAAAUUCUGAUGCGAACCUCAAUUUUCCAACUAGGAUGGUGGAGCUCAUGGGUACUCUGGAGCAAAUCACGAAGGCUGAGCACUUGAUCAAUGAAGUUCUUGUUGAGGCUGAAUCAGGAGGUCCUGCCAUAGCUUCUAGAAGGUAAACAAUACAAGCUGGCGAUGAACAAUAUGUUACAAAGAUUCCUAACGACAAGGUUGGGCUUGUAAUUGGUAAAAUAGAAGGAAUCAAUCAUGACGCUAGGAAGAGAACAAAAGCAAAAGCAAGUAUGUGCAGGUGAAGAUGUAUGUAGGUGGAAAAGAAAAAAAAAAGACUGAGUGAGAAAGGUGCGGUGGAAAAGAGGAAAGAAAAAGUUGAAUAAAGGAAAAAGAGGAAAGAGGAAAGCACUUGGAUAAGUAUACUGACCUUUCAUCAUGCAUAUUCCCAUUUUGAAAAACCCAUCCGGAGAACAUGCAAAAGUAUCAAAGUAUGAAAGACCAUGCCUACUGACCAAACCUGCCUUCACGUGAAGUUUUCCUCCAACAGCUGCACAUGUUAUCCCACUAUCCAACUAUAUCUGGAGCAGCUGUUUUGAAUGAUGUAAUUUAUUUUUCUUAUCUUUCGGAGACAUCUGUAUAAACCCCAUCAGAGGGUAGUAAAAAAAAAUGGCAAAGCCCAAAAUAAUGGGCUAGAAUGUUAUGUGGAGGGCGAAGGCCCAUAUGCCCAAAAGAGCCAGGUCCACUACUAUCACCAACCAUGUGAUCACAAAUACGCCCAGUACUUCAAAAUUAUUCGGCAUCCUGCCUCUAUUAUCACCAACCAGGUUGAUCAAAAGUAUGUCUAGUACUCCAAAAUUAUACAUGAACAUUACUCAUGUUAAUCAUACAUAAACAUUGAGCAUCACUCAUGUCAAUCAUACAUAAACAUUCAUGACCAUCAUUCAUGUCAACAUUCAACAUUCAUGAGCAUCACUCAUGUCAACAUUCAUAAGCAUCACUCAUGUCAAUCAACACAAACAUUCAUGAGCAUCACUCAUGUCAAUCAGCUUCAAAAGCUUCAUUUACAGAGCUCUAGCUUCAAAAGCUUCAUUUACAAAAGCUCUAGCUUCAAAAGCUUCAUUUACAGAGCUCUAACUUCAAAAGCUUCAUUUACAAAAGCUCCAGCUUCGAAAGCUUCAUUUACAGAGCUCUAGCUUCAAAUGCUUCAUUUACAAAGCUCUAGCUUCAAAGCUUCACUUGCAAAGCUUCACCUACAAAGCUUCAGUGCAGGGUAUACAAAUACCGCCUCCGAACAACUGCCACUUCGGCCCAUACAUGGAUUCAAUUUGAAGUCUCCAGCCAACAGACUCUAUUGACCGAAGGCUUGGGGGACUAUAUUAUGUACCAUAUAUUGGGCCUUAACUGGGCCUCAUGAAAAAUACUUGGGGAACUUAGCCCAUUCUUAAUGUAUUGAGGAGCGAGCCCUUAUUCUAUAAAAGGGACUCCUUCACUUUCAUUAGAGAGCACAUAUUAUUCAUGUAUUGAGGAUCGAGCCUUUAUUCUAUAAAAGGGACUCCCUCACUUUCAUUAAAGAGCACCCAUUAUUCAUGUACUGAGGAGCGAGCCUUUAUUUUAUAAAAAUAGAUCCCCUCACCCUCAUUAGAGAGCAUCGCCACCAACUGAGCAACCGCCUCACCGCGAGCAUCACUUCUAACCCAUUAUUCAUAUAUUGAGGAGCAAGCCCUUAUUCUAUAAAAAAGACUCUCUCACCAUCAUUAGAGAGCACCGCUGCCUACUGAGCAACCGCCUCGCCGCGAGCAUCAACUCUAGCCCAUCAUUUAUGUAUUGAGGAGCGAGCCCUUAUUCUAUAAAAGGGACUUCUUCACCUUCAACGCCACAAGCCGAGCAGCCUCGCAACAUGUGCUACUUCUAGUUAAGCAUCAUUUCAGAUUGAGCACCGCCUCAUAUCGAUUAGCAGUCCUAGACGACAUCUAGUUACUUCGGCCCACACAUAGACUGAAUUUCAAGUCUCCAGCCAAAAGACUCUCUUGACUGAAGACUUUGGGGACUACUGUUUGUACCAUACUUAGGGCAUCCGUAUUUAGAUCUCGUAUAAAUAGUCGGGGACUCAAAUGUAAUUAUGUAAUAAAAGAAGGGGCAAAUAUGUAAUAAGUGAGGAGCCCUUAUUCUAUAAAAGGGACUCAUCACCCUCACAAUUGGAGAGAGCCUCACAUCCCCUCUCAUAUUCAGAGAAGCUCAUCCUCACAUAAGGAAGCCUCUUCACCCCCUCAUGCCACUUAGAUUAAGAAGAGUUUCUCACCCUCAGAAGCUCUCUCUCCCUCUUUAACAUCUCAGAGAAAUACAACAUCAAUGUGGACGUAGCUCAAACAUUAGGGUGAACCACAACACAUCUUGUUUUAUUUACAUUUCUUGCAGAUUUACGGUCGAAUUUACGUUGUUCCAAGACCCCUUUGGUUUUGUGCAUCAACAUAUAUAUAUAAUAUUAAAACAGUUAUCAACAUACUAACCCCCAAAGUUUUAUGAAAACUAAUAGCAUAAUAAGUGGUAGAUUUUCCGAAAACCCUAACAUGCCAUAAAAAUAUCUCGUAUAUAGUGUGCUAACUAGUGGUAUCAUAAUCACCCAUAGGCAGAACAUAGAACACUUCCUUCACAAGUAUCAAUCGUCCGCAGGUUCCUAUAGCACCCACCCGAAGGCAUAUAUAGUAUCAAUUGCAUGAAGGCUACUACAACACCCACCCAAAGGCAUAUAUAGUAUCAAUCGCUCAAAGGCUCCUACAACACCAACCCAAAGGCAUAUAUAGUAUCAAUUGCUCGAAUGCUCCUACAACACCCACCUGAAGGCAUAUAUAAUAUUAAUCGGCCGAAGGCUCCUACAGCACCCACUCGAAAACACAUAUAUAGUGACCACUAGAUACGCACAAAGCCAUUGAACAUAGUCUUUCCAAACAUAAGUAUAUAUAUCUUAAAAACAUCUUCAUAGUAUAAAGUCAUCCAUCAUCUAUACUAUAAAGAAGUGUUAUAAAACAUGUUAUAUAUAGUGUUAUAAAAACAUGUUAUAGAUAGUAUAUCGUCAUCCAUUAGAUAUCCUACAAGAACAUGGGUUCAAUAGAAAAUAUGGUAUUCCAAAAUAAGCUCAGUAUAGCAUGAUAAUCAAUUUCUCAUAAAACGUAAUCAUUAAAUCAUGCUUUUCAUGUAUGCAGUUCUACUAUUAAAAUCAAUUUCUCAUACAACAUUUCAUAAAACAUAAUCAUUAAAUCACCAUUUUCAUGUAUGCAUUUCUACUAUUAAAACAUGUAUUUUAGAAGGGGUCCACUCACAGAUACUUCGCUUCCGAAGAGCCACGCAAACUAGUGAAGACGGAAUCGUUACAAUAUAUGCACCUAAGCACAUAAAAAGACCAAUUAAUAAAAUUAUAUUAUAACAAUUGAAUUUGGGAAAACGGACAUUGGAAACAGAUUCAGGACGUCGAAUUACCCUAAGAAUGGUCCCGAGUAAAUUUCAUAAAGUCAACACAAAGAAUAUUCUAGAGAAUAUUCCCUAACAGAAUAUUCCCUAAUAGAAUAUUCCCUAAUGAAAUAUUCCCCAUAAAGGGUUUGGGCCGGUUAGGGUUUAGGGUUUGAAAAGUUAAAGGGUUUAGUGGGCCGAAAGCCCUAGAUUAAAAAGGUUGGGCUUUAAGAGUUUGAGUUUAGUUUCAAACAAAUAAAAUAAAUAAAUAAAAGGGGUUUGGGCUUUGGGGGUCACGGGCCUAAGGCCUGAGUUCUAAAUGGCCCAAAGGGUUAGGGGUUUAGGCUAAAAAGGUUGGGCCUAAAUUCAGAUUUAGGUUUGGGUUUAAAAAAGUUUUGGGUUUAGGCUUGCGUCACAAAAGCCCAAGGUUUGGGCUGGGUUUCUGAUUCUGACUCAGGUUUGACCCGUUUAACUUGUGGGUCAUCGGACUCCACGAAGAAGAAGGCCAGAUUUCGGCCGAAAAAUUAGACAAACUUUAAACGUUCAUAACUUUGUCGAUACUCAACGAAAUCAAGUGAUUAAAAAACGAAAAUCAUAGCUCUCGACGAGGCGAAGAGAAUGGUACCUUGCACGAUAUCUAACUAACCGUGGUUUGGCCAGAAAAUGCCUCGAAAUCCAUAGAGGUCGCACAGAAACUGGGUAAGAUUCAAAUGAAUAUAACUUCUUCAAUACUCAGUGAAAUUGGGCGAGACGAAAAGAUUAAUACCUUGCACGCCGACCAACUCGUCAUGGUUUGGCUGGAAACCGUCGAACUCACCAGUAAAACUGGGAAAACACCUCCCCGAGUUGUUCUGCGUCCAACCAGUCUACACAAACAUCAAACCUACCUUAACGAACCUUAAAACACACCCUACAAGGUUUUAAAGUCUUACCCUUGGCCGUAGACGGCGAAACAUGUCGAGGAAGGCUGCACAGUGAUGGCAGAGAGAGGAGCUUGAGGGAGAGGUUCCUCCAUUGAUCCUGGGUUCAUGGGACUCGCAAAGGAUAUAGGGUGGGGGUGAGGUCGUCGUGUUGUGUAAGUGUGCAUGAGUGUAUGAGUGUAUAUGUGUAUGGGAGCUCAGGGAAGAAAUAGCACAGAGAGAGGGAGCACGAGAAAUUGAGGUGAGAAGGAGAGUACUGAGAGAGAAUAGAGCUGAGAGGCUUGGGGGACAAAAAUCAGGGGGUGGAUCCCUUGGGCUCACCAAUUAAGAUCCAAAAACAUUAUUUUUUUUAAAUAAAAACCCAAAACUUAGUAAAAUUAUAAACUAAAUUUGGGAAGGGAUUUUACAUUAUUAAUGUAUUAUAAUGGUCGAGAUGAAGCAAAAUGCGAAAAAAUGCUUAAGUUAUGUUAUCGAAUUAGACGUUGGGGAGCUAUGAUGGAGAAGCAAACUCUUUUUAUCUUUCUUGUUUUUUGAACGGUGAUUUUAUUCUAACCCAAUUAAUUAAGAGCUUUGGGAUCAAAUUCUAUAUUUGUGUUCAUAUAUGUGUUUGGCUAAAGUGAAAUUCAAAUAUAGAUAUGAGAUUUGAGUUCAAGGUGAAGCUCGUGCCAGCAAGUAAAAAUGUUAUUCAACUAAGAAAGAUAUUAUUUAUUUGAGUGCAAUCAUCUCUGGUGCACAUACCUAAAUUAAUAUUUUUCAUCCAAUGAAAAAACUUGAAUCUUAAAAUCCAAAAUAUAAAUAUAUAUAACUAAGAAUAUAGUCAUUGCAUAGGUGAAAUUUAAAAACUUUAAACCCAUCACAAUUUUUGAACUCAAACAUGAUAAUAUAGGUUUCAAAUGAGUUGUUUCAUUGUCCUUCCUUAAUGUAGAUAAUAUCAGUUGUUGAAAAAAAAAAAGUUGUUUCAUUGUAGAUUCUCUAAGUUUAACCUCCCCUCAUAUUGAAAACGUGAAUAUGAUCACAUUGUCUAAAGUGAACGUGUUAUCACAUGUAUAAUAGAGUUUGAUUUUCUCCCAUUUAAAUUAAUUAAAAGUUAAAUAACGCACCAUGUAAAACAAAUGCAGAAACUCAAAAUCCUAUACGUGAAAUGAAAAUCGAUUAAUUGGAGCCGUCCACGUCCAUUCAUGUUUCCUUUUCAAGCCAAUCUGAAUUUUCUUUCAAUUACUCUGUCAUUUACUAAACGUGCAAUCAGUACAUAACAUCGUCCACGCCACCUUCUGUAACUCAUUAUUUCUAACAGCUCUUGAUACAACGAUGUGUGCUUGAACGUGAAACUCAAUGAAAACAAAUGAAUUAAUUAACUUUAAUUAAUUUCAAUAAUUUUGUCUAAUCAGUGCUCAAAUACUGGAUAAUCAUGUUUCAUAAUUCCGUACAAUUUGCUUAAUUUAAUGAUUACUUGUUUGUGUGUGAUCACGCCAAGCGGGGGAGAUAUUUUGUUAUGAGUUCGUCGACGAUGAUUUUGUAGGCGCCCUCAGUCGGAUGGUAGCUGUCCCAAUAUAGAUAAUGAGAGUCAUCCGUACACGUCUCUGGCUCGAAUCGAUUGCACAGAAUGGACACCUCCAGCUUCCCACUGUUAGAUUAAAUGUAGAAUUAUGGAGAAUAAUCUGAAUAAUGACUUUGAAGUACGACUUGAAUCGUUUCCUUAAAGUGUUAUUUGCCCCCACUCGAAUGAGUUUGCUAAAGGGUUCUUGGCAAAUCACUUCCAGGAUACAACAAAGUAUGGAAUAUUCGAUUAGCAAAACCGAAUUAUAUUCCCUUAGAAAUAACUAGAAAGAAAUUGUAUGAAUGUGAUGAAGAGAGAAAAGAGAGCAAAGAAAUUAUGUAGACAAAAAAUUUCUGAAUGAAUCAUUUUCUACUAAUGUUACCAAUAUAUAUAGAGAGAAUUGCACCUUUUAGACAUAUCCUUUGGUUUUGGGUGUGCCCUCUCACCAUGAGAUACAACUAAACAUUGCAGCAAUGUUUCUAAUGGAUAUAUCUGAUACAAGAGGUUAAUUACCAAUAAUUACAUAUGUUGGAAAAGGGCAUGCAUCUGUUCGGGAUGCAUCCUGUUUUUCCACCAAACAAUAAAAGGUACGGCAGUUUUCAAAUUCCAAAGAAUGUGAUUGUUGGGUGACUAACCCAACUCCAUCUUCUGACAAACGCCACACUCAUAUAUAUAUACCUAUAUAUAUAUAUUAUUAUAUAUAUAUAUAUAUAUAUAUUUAAAAUAUUCAACAAUCCUUCCCUAUUUUAAAAAUAUAUAGAAAAUGAUAUUACAACUCUCUUUUUAUAAUUAUCACAAGCAUACCGAUAUAAUCAUGCAUACAAUAAAGGUGUCUUUCGAAUUAAACCUUUAAUUAGUGUAAGUGAUUCAAAGUUAUAACGAAUGCGAUGGUGACCUAAGUUUAAACCACCUAUUCUUAUGUUAAAACCGGAAUCACUACACACAUGACUAUGUCUUAUUUCCUUAAAAAAAAUUCUGAACCAAUUAAGCACUAUUAUGGCCUUGUGCUUCAUCCUGGUUUCAUAAACAUUUACAAGAGAAAACCCAACUCUUGGUAGAAGCGGCACCACUUCUUAUGCUCAUAUAGGUGAGGUUCCUUCCCAUGUCCCUGCUACUAUAGACAUAACUACAAUAACCUCAUUAAGAGAUAAAACUCAUCCUCCUAAACGUAGCAGUCUUGCACUGAUCAUCUUGGAAUGAGCUAUAUAAUAAUUUUCAGUGCUUUCACAACCACUUAACAAUAACUUGUUAUUACCCAUUAAACUUUUAAACUAGUGAUGUUCUAGACAAAGUCGGGUUACCAUUAUUGGUGGCUAAUUUUCAGUAAAGGGUUUUAGCCCCAUUCCACUAGAUGUACUAACUACCAAAGCUCUUGAAAGUGCUUUCGUUAACGGAUCCGCCAAGUUAUUACUUGAUUUAACAUAAACAAUAUUAAUAACUCCAUCAGUUAUUAAUUGCUUGACAUAUUCAUGUCUCAAACUAAUAUGUCUAGAUUUUCCAUUGUAUACCUUAUUGUAUGCUCUAGACAAAGUAGCCUCACUAUCACAGUAUAAAGAAAUGGAUGGCAUUGGUUGUGGCCACAACUCUAUUUCCAAUAACAAAUUUCUAAUCCAUUCCGCUUCUUUACCUGCUGCUGCUAAUGCUAUAAAUUCAGAUUCCAUAGUUGAAUGUGCUAUACAUGUUUGCUUCUUCGAAGCCCAAGAAAUUGCUCCUCCGGCAAUUGUAAAAAUCCACCCUGAUGUAGACUUAUUAUCAUUAACACUUGUUAUCCAACUUGCAUCUGAAUAUCCUUCAAGUACUGCUGGAAACUCAGAGUAAGUUAAACUCAGGUUAAUAGUUCUUUUAAGAUAACCAAAAAUUCUAUUUAUUGCUUUCCAAUGAACAGUACCUGGAUGACUAGUGUAUCUAGAAAGUUUGCUUACUGCAAAUGCGAUAUCAGGCCUGGUACAAUGCAUGGCAUACAUUAAACUUCCGAUUACACUAGCAUACUUAAGCUGUGCAACAGACCUACCAGAAUUAUUAAGCAAAGUUUCACUAUGGUCAUAAGGGGUAUUUGCUUCUUUUAUUUGUAGAUGCUUAAACUUAAGAAGCAAUUUUUCUAUAUAAUGUGACUGACACAAAGCGUAGCCCCCACUAUGCUUCUUUACUUUAAUUCCCAAGAUAGUAUCUACUUCAUUCAAAUCCUUCAUCUUGAAUUUUGAAUUUAGAUACUCUUUAGUUUCAGAUACACCUUUCAUGUUUGUACCAAAAAUUAGCAAGUCGUCAACAUAUAAACAUAUAACAACACCAUAAUCAUUUGUGAAUUUAGAGUAUAUGCAUUUAUCAGCACUGUUAUGUCUAAAUCCAUAUGAUAAAAUGACAAAAUCAAACCUUUCAUGCCAUUGUUUUGGUGCUUGCUUCAAUCCAUAUAAUGACUUUACUAAUUUACAAACCUUCUUUUCAUUCCCAGGGAGAACAAACCCUUCUGGUUGUUCCAUAUAGACUUCUUCAUCUAAAUCACCAUUUAAAAAUGUUGUUUUCACAUCCAUUUGAUGCACAUGCAAAUUAUAUAAAGAUGCCAAUGCAAACAAUAUUCUAAUUGAAAAACCCAUGUCUGAUUAGAUAUUAAUGAUUCAAAUUCAUCAUCUAUAGCCUCUUUCCAAAAGGCUGCAUCUCUUGAAGUCAAUGCUUCGCUUAGACUUUUAGGAUCAUCCGGUAUUUUCUUAAGAACCUUUGUUCUAUUUUCUUCGACUAAAAAUACAAUAGAUUGAGAUGAAAUAAAAUCAGAGCCUAGAGUCUUUUCUUUUCUUACCCUUUGUCUUUUCCUUGGUUCAUUAACAGUUUCAGACUGUUUUCUUUUUAUAUUUGUUUCCUUCGACAAUGUGAACUUUAGAGAAAUCUUGAUUUGCAAAAUUCUUAUCACGAUUUCGAGUUUCCUCUUCAAUUUGAAUACCCUUUUGCAAAUUCUCCAAACUAAUAUCUUCCACCAUGUGUAGAAGUUUCUUUCUAUAGUUAUUCCAUGUUUGGGGUAAUUUUGCCAUAAUAGCUCCAACUAUCAUAGGAUCCAGAAUAACUAUUUUAAGUUCACGAAGCUUUGAGACCAAGACUAAUAAUUCAUGAACUUGGUCUAGGAUGGGUUUGUUAUCAAACAUAGUGAAUUCAUAAUAUUUGAACAUUAAAAAUUUAUCGGUACCUUAAAAAUUUAUCGGUACCUCUUUUUUCCGUUGUGUACUUGUGUUCAAGUGCUUCCCAAAUUUCCUUGGAGAUUGAAUGUGUGCAUACAAGUCAUAUAAACGAUCAGAUAAUGUGCCCAAGAUGUGUCAUCGACAUACCAAUUCAUCUUCUUCACGCUUCUUUCGAUCGGCAACUAUAUUGUCCGAGUCUUUGUCACUUGGUUCACGAAUAGGCUCCAAUUUCGGGUCCAACACAUAUAUGACAUUUAGAACAGCAAGCAUGAAACGCAUCUUGUCCUUCCAUCGGGUGAAAUUUGAUCCAUCAAAUUUGUCUAACUUGUAGACAUCUUGAUUGAUAAUCUUCAAAGCCAUGUUAUCAGAUUUGUUAUCCAUGACGAAAAUAACACUUUAAGAUUGUUAGAUUAAAUGUAGAAUUAUGGAGAAUAAUCUGAAUAAUGACUUUGAGGUACGACUUGAAUCGUUUCCUUAAAGUGUUAUUUGCCCCCACUCGAAUGAGUUUGCUAAAGGGUUCUUGGCAAAUCACUUCCAGGAUACAACAAAGUAUGGAAUAUUCGAUUAGCAAAACCGAAUUAUAUUCCCUUAGAAAAUAACUAGAAAGAAAUUGUAUGAAUGUGAUGAGAGAGGAAAAGAGAGCAAAGAAAUUAUGUAGACAACAAAUUUCUGAAUGAAUCAUUUUCUACUAAUGUUACCAAUAUAUAUAGAGAGAAUUGCACCUUUUAGACAUAUCCUUUGGUUUUGGGUAUGCCCUCUCACCAUGAGAUACAACUAAACAUUGCAGCAAUGUUUCUAAUGGAUAUAUCUGAUACAAGAGGUUAAUUACCAAUAAUUACAUAUGUUGGAAAAGGGCAUGCAUCUGUUCGGGAUGCAUCCUGUUUUUCCACCAAACAAUAAAAGGUACGGCAGUUUUCAAAUUCCAAAGAAUGUGAUUGUUGGGUGACUAACCCAACUCCAUCUUCUGACAAACGCCACACUCAUAUAUAUAUACCUAUAUAUAUAUUAUUAUAUAUAUAUAUAUAUAUUUAAAAUAUUCAACAAUCUCCCGCAACACCCUUUGUUCGAAACUUCAAACCCUAAUGCAAAUUCAAUACAAAAUUCGUUAGUCUUUGAGAUGUCGUCAAAGGGCGUGUUUGAGAUUGCUUUCGUAAAAACCAUGUAUGCUCAUAAAUUUUUCUGUUAGAAAUACUUUCAUUACAAAUGCACUGAAAUUCUGAAUACAAAUCCAAGCGCUUCCUAAAAGAUAGGGUUGAGGUUUUACCGUAAUUAGUAGGGUUGAUGAUCAUAUCCAGAAGUGGGUUGUAGAUGUCGACGUAAAUUAGCAUCGAGUUAGGUAGGUUAUUCUUGAGGUCGUCCAGCUCAGCAGAGAGCUUGGAGUUAAAGAGCAUGGCUGCUUGGUUUGGUUUGUCUGCACAAUCUCUUUCCACGCCUCCUCCUAAAGUCCUUUGAGAUGGCAGACACCCAAUAGGUGGUGCACUGAAAACACCAAUUCUUCAUGCCCCCAAUGCAUAAAAUCCCUUCAAAUACGAACAAGGUAUCACACGUCCAAAAUGCAAAUUACAAAAUAGCACUUUACAAACUUGAUCACAUAUAACAAAAUGAAACAAAUUAUUGAAAUAUAAACACGUGAUAUAAUCAGUUCACGUAUAACAGUGUAUUGAUUAUGCAGGUUGACCAAACUAACGAUUGCUCAUAAAACCGGAUUUAUGUCUAAUUAUUUCUUAAUUAAAAGUUACCUUAAAGAAAUCAGAAGCAUGAUUGAGCAUGAGGUCAGUGUAAGAAGGAACAUCAUACUCUAACUUCCUAACACCGGCAACAAAGUAGGUAUUAGCAAUAUCGUUGCUACUUGCUACCACAAAACAUAGACUGUUGGCUAGGAUGAAGUUUGCUCUCUCUUCUCCCACAAUUCCUUUGAGCUUUCUUAUGUACUCUUCAAAUUGCCGCAGUUGAUUAGACAGUGGUGUAACUGCCUAGUUAAAUUUCACCAAGGAACCAUUAGUAACGUAAUUAGGUGUUAAGCUUGAUAAGCAUGAGAAACUUUCUUAAGUACUCGAAAUACUGCCACAUAUAUCAUGAUUUUACUAAAAUUAUAACACGUAUAUUUGUAUGUUACUAAACGAGUGUAAUAGUAUAUCACGUGACAAAUGUUAUGAACACACAUAAAAUUUCAUUGAUAAACAUAUGAGUAAUGCCAUGGAGACUAAAUUUGAAGACAAAAUUUAUAAACUAAAUGAUGUGUCACAAAUAGGAAUGAGCACGUUUAUCAACGCUUAAGUAAUAAACCAAUCAACAACUUUCAUAUCUAUUAAUUUUCAAAUUUUAUCUACAAAUUUAAUCUCUAUAACAUUAUCUUACACAUAUUAAUGAAAAGAAAUAUGCAAGUCGUGAUACCACAAUUUGGGCUGUUAUAGGAUCAUAUCCGGUGGCACCAACGGCAAAGCUGACACCUGUAAGCAGAUCAUUGGGAUGUAGGUUUGGAUCCAAAUAGGCUGGCAGGAGCUCUUUAAUGCCUAACUUUUCCACUGAAAUAAACAACGCAUAAAACCAAAUCAAAUGAAAGUUUAGUUAAUUAACUUGCAUUACGAUCAAGAUUGAAGAAACUGUACUGCCAGUUGCCACAACACUCACAAAACUAAAGGACCAUUUUGUAAAUUUCAUAUCAUUGGUUUCACAUUGUCGUUAAGUUAACCAACUUGAAUUUGCUCUUGGACGGUCAUAUGAGAUACGAGUUCCAACUUCUAAGGUUACAUGGACAAGGGCUGCGUUUUAUGAGGGCUUUCAUUGGGCGUAUAUAAAGCCACUUGUAAGCUCUAUAUGAAGAAACGUUUAGCAAAGCGCUUUUAUGACCCAUGAUCACUUUUAAUUUUGUCAGUCUUACUUUUUUUGUCAAUAAUAUAAAAAACACUCUUAACCUUUCCAUAAACAAGCACAAACUUUGAAGUAGCCAGAGAAAGAAACACUAGGAGGGGACAUAGCACAAAGCCCUGCUCAAAGGGUUAGCUCCGGAGAUAUAGUAACUUGAGAUGAUUUCAGUAUGCUGCUAGGCCAGUUGCAGAAUUCAGGCAGUGAAUUAUAUCUCAAAGCCUUGGAGCUCAAAUUUUUCUAAGCGGCAGGAUAGGGGGAGGGGGUCAAAUUGCUUAAAUCAAAGGGGAAAAGAGAAAGAUAGGAAAGAUGCCAAGUCAAGCCAGAGGCAAUCUGCUGUCUGGAAUCAAAGAUCCUAUGCAAAGAUCCCUUAUUUGCUUAAUGUGAUUCAUUCUCAACACAACUUCUCACGUGUGACGAAUUUACAAGCCUAACACGUGGACAAUACAAAUCGGGAGACGAGGGGCAAAUGUGUUCAUUUGGUUUCACAUGUGGGACAACAUACUCUGAUACCAUAAAAGAGGUUGCGAUUCCACCAUAAAGCAAUUGACAAUAUAGAAAAUAACUCAAGCACUUGUAAACACUUGUAAUGUCUCUUAUUUCCCAACGUGGAAUUCAUUCUAAAUAAUAUAUACAUAUAAAGGAUACGAUAAUGUUGAUUGAUUUGCAAUUCCAUUUACUUAAAUAUUUUAUAAACUAUAAUGAAACUACUUUAAUUAAUAUUGAAUUUAAAUGCGGACACGCUUUCUUGAUCGGUUGAACUAACCGACAUAUGCAAUAAAUAAGUCAAACACUAGUAUUGUAUUGGAAGUGAUGUAGACGUGAGUUACAGCUGUCACUUUUGGACAUUAGAAGUGAUGUAGACGUGAGUUGCAGCUGUCACUUUUGGACAUUGGAAGUGAUGUAGACGUGAUGCAUUGCUUCUUCAACACACAAUCACAUGUGUGAGUUGCAGCUGUCACUUUUCCUUUGUCCUUUAAUUUACUCCUUAAUUCAUGGUCUUGUGUUUUAUUGAAACUUGUAUGUAGGGUUAGCUGGAUUAUUUUUUUGUUCUUUAUAUGAACUAAUAUCAGGCUUUGUCAAUAGGCCUUUAAGCCACUCUCAAGCUCUAUAUAAGAACUUCUCCCUUGUACUUGUUUUCUCAUGAUGAAUUAUACAAAUAGUUGAAACUAAAAAGUUCAAUGUAUUGCAUAUCAAGUGCUUUUAUGGAAAAAGAAAAAAAAUAUCAAGUGCUUAAUUUAUUCACUAAGAAAACCUAAUUGUAGUAUUAAUUAGUAUCAUGUAUCGUGAGAGUGAGAGUGAGAGUGAGAGUGAGAGUCAAACACAGCAAAAGCAGAAGCAGAAGCACAACCUACGAGGUCAGAGGGAACCUUUCCAUUGGAAUAUCUCCCAGUAGAUAUUCCUCCUUCGAACUCCCUGCCGUAGGGAGGGAAAUUACACCGAGCUGGCGUCUUCAGGUUGACGUUAUUGUUCCCUGUAUCGACGAUGGAAUCGCCAAACAUAAACACAGCGGGAAUCGUUGCAUUGGGCGGCAGCUUAACGACAUCACCUCCAACCGCUUGGUUUCCCAAAAUCACCAGACCACAACAAACAAACAGAAAAAAUCUCAUAAUAAUGUGGUCAUCACUGAAUACGACUGCAAAUUUCUCUGUUUGGUUCUUCCCCAAGUAGCUGGGCUAGCUAAUUGACCAAACUAAACCAAACAACGGAAAAGGAUGAAGAGUGGGAGCCAACUUAUGGGCCAUGAUUAAUAGCGAGUGCAUUUAUAUUUAUAUUUAUUAUACAUAUAAAGGGUGCUGCAUACAGCCCGUACUGUCAUUUAGAUCGAUCGUCAGACACAAGACAUGCCUUGUUUAAUGCAAAUGCAAUAAGGGAUAUAGUAGGUGGUACCGUACGUAACUGCUAAAUACAAUUUUAAAAUAAUAAUUAAAAUCAGGCAAGAGAAGCCCAACAGUACAACGAAAGCCAAAACACAAGCAACCAACCAAAAAACAGACCGGAAGAACAGGGGGUAGAAGAGCCGACACUCUAGUAAGCUCAAUGUGUCCCCCCUUGCACCUCCCACACAAAAUUAAGCCGGGCAAGGUAAAUCAUCCUUAUUCAAAACAUGCACUAGAGAAGAUGGGGUCGUUCGACCCAAGACACAUCACACAUCUGCGCGACGCUAAAUGAUCCGCUGCUACAUUUGCUGAUCUUGGAACCCAAGAUCAACGACAGCCCUGAAAGGCCUCCCCAAGCUUCAAACACUACUCUAAAAUAGACAAGCCUCCCAUCUGCCCUCAAAGAUUGAACCCCGCAUACAUGAAAUAGUUCCUUUGAGAAUCAGAUUCAACCACCACGAGUCAGAUUCAAAUAGAGACCCAACUCACAACCAGCCUGCAAAGCCAACGCUUCCGCACAUCAUAGAAUGAAUUAGAACAAGAACGAGAAUCCCUUUUUCUCUAUUUGUCAAUUAAUUGUUAAUCUUUUUUAUUUGAUGACAGGUCGCACAUGGCAUAUAAAGUUAAUUAACUAAAUUUACAAUUUCAUAAGAAAGCCAGGUUCGGACCUCUUCAACCUUGACACGACGAUCGAAUCAGACCUCGAGCGGUGAAUCCGGGCGAGAAUCAGUCGAAGUAGAAGAGAGACUGUGGAUGGUUGAGCUUGUCGGGGAAUCUUCCCUCUCUCUUUCUCCCGCCACUACGUCUUUCAUUAUUCCUAGCUUCAACAAUCAUCGCCGUUGGGAUCCCUGCGAGUGGGAUUUCGCACUUACCCAGAUGAGAAAACGACUCCCAAAUCACAAAACAAGCCAAACCCAGAUAAAAAAACCAAAGAAAUUAAAAUGGAUUCGUAAAAGUUUGUGUCUUUGAUAAAGCCUAAAGUGGGAAAAGAGCCAUGAAAUUGCAGAUGGUUUCGUUAAAGAUUGUCUUUGGUAAAGCGUAAAGUGGGAAAGAAAAGCCAUGAAAUUGCACCAACUCUGCUAAAUCAUAAGGGAGCGACGAUGAGGACGGACAAAAUGAGGUAAGGAGAGUCUUAUUUUAACUAAAUAAAUUAUUAUAUGAACAUAAUAAGCUUUUUAUUCUCUUAACAUAAUCAUAACAAUUUCAUAUAAAAAUUUACCAAACACUCAAACACUUUUUUAUUAGUUAAAAACACUUCUACAAAAAAAACAAUAACCGAACAUUUAAUUAUUUUACAAUUGUUUAUUCUCACACCACAGUAAAAGUAGUUCUUAUUAAAUUACUUUAUUUUACAACGGCACAACAGGUAACAACACAACAAAUAGAAUUUUUUUUAAUUUUAAAUAACAUCAAUACUUGCUUAGAAGAAGCGGCUGGAAUAAUUGUCGAGCAUCUGCUUCACAAUGAUCUUGUACGCUGUUUCGGUUGGAUGGUAGCUGUCCCAGAAAACAUAGUUAGAGUCAUCUGUGCAGACCUGUUGGAGCUGAUUGCACAGUUUUGUUACUUCAAUAAGGCCAGUACCACAACACCCUUUAUUCGCAACUUCAAACCCUGCCGGCAUGGAUCGACACAAACAUAUAAAUCUUUACUAAUUUAUAAGAAAUGUAAUGGAGCUACCUAGGCAGAGUAAAUGAAACAUUGUACCGUAUUUAGCGGGAUUUUUUAUGAUAUCGAGUAGCGGAUUAUAGAUGUCAAUGUAGACCACUCUCGAGUUUGGUAGGAUUUUGUUAAGGCGAUCCAUCUCCACAUUGAGCUUGGAAUUGAACAGCUGACAUGCUUGGUUUUGUCUUUCGUCACAAUCUCUUUCUAUGCCUCCAUUUACCGUUCGUUGAGAUGGUACACAUCCGAUAGGUGGUGCACUUAGUACACCUAUUCUUCGUACCCCCAAUCCAUACAAGUCCUACAAAAUUCAUAACUUUGAUAUAUCAAUUAAAUAGUGAAAAGAUGCACAUUUUUCAUUUUUAGUAAUUUGUAUCACGAAAAUACGCACCUUGACGAAAUCAGAGGCAUGUUUGAGCAUGAAGUCGGUGUAAGAAGGAACGUCAUACUCCAAUCUCCUAGCACCGGUAAGAAAAUAGGUAUUAGAAAUAUCGUUACUGCCGGCUACCACAAAAAUCAGACUGUUUUUUAUAAUGAAGUUUGUUUUCUCCUCUCCAACAAUUCCUUUCAGCUUUUCUAUGUACUCCUUGAACUGUUUCAUUUGGUCGGAUAGCGAUGCAACUACCUACACAAUCGAAUUCCAGAAUUAAUGAAGGAGGAAAAAAUAAAAUUAACAAAAGAAUAAAGGAUUCGAGCUUUAAAUAUAUAGGUCAUACCCCGAGUUUUGCUGUCAAUGGAUCAUAACCUGCAGCACCGUUAGCUAUGACAACACCGGUAAGGAGGUCAUUAGGCUGCAGGGUUGGAUCCAAAUAUGCCGGCAACAGCUCCUUGAUUCCGAAUGCUUCCACUGGACAUGAAAAAAAAAUCGUAACAUAGAGGAGGGUUAAUUGAACAUUUUAUUGUAUAAGAGAAUAUUUCGGAAUAUUUGGGACAAAAUUAGAGAUAAAAAGUAUUAUAUUCUCGGAUUUUUCACAAAAAAACUAGGAGUUAGCGCACAGUUUUUUAUCGGUUUUACGAAGUUCUACAAAAGCAAAGCCAGAAUGGCUACUAGUUAGUAAUCUUUUAUUAGUGUUUAAUGGUGGUGAUGAUGAUGAACGAUGAUUGUGAUGAUGAUCGUGAUGACAACCUAUGAAGUCUGAGGGAACCUUUCCAUUGGAAUAUCUGCCGGUUGGCAUUCCUCCCUUGAGGUCUUUUCCAUAGGGUAAGAAAUUGCAGCGUGCAAAUGUCACGAAGUUUUUGUUGUUGUUGCCGGUAUCAACAAUUGAAUCUCCGAAUACAAUAACAGCCGGGAUAGUCACAUUCUCCGGUAGCUUGACUGUUGCGGCUGCCUCAGUAACGUUACUCAUACUAAUAAUAUUGCACAAGAAAAUCACUAAAAUUACAUAUGACGAUUGCAUCUGCAGCCUGAUCAGUUUAGGAAUAAACAGACCUAGUUCUCCUGCAUCUGCAUGCAUUCUGGACAAUUAAAUCCCCAAGUUGUAGGUACACAAAAAUAAAUGAUCGAAAAGAUAUGAGCAUAAACUUGUGGGUCUUUAAUUUCCGAUUGUGAAUUUAUAUUAGUUUUCGAUUGUUUCUUGUGAAUUUAAUCAAUUUAUAUGUGAUUGUUUAUUGUGUUUGUUGUGAAUUUAUAUUAGUUUCCGAUUGUUUGUGGUUAAUUUUAUAUGAUUGGCUGUUGUGUUUGUUGUAAAUUUAUACACACAAAAAGUUCAGCUUGCCCGCAUAUCCCUCUUAUAAACCAUUUUAUACACAAAGACAGUUGAGGUUGCCCGCAUCCCUCUUAUAAACCCUUUUAUACACAAAGAAAGUUUAGGUUGCCUACACAAAGAAAGUUGGGCUACAUCCCUCUUAUAAGUCUUUGCAUGUUUGGUCUCACACAUCGAGUCGUCAUUAGGUUUCAUACGUGAGCUAACAUGCUCUGUUCCACCAUUAAACUAAUUGACGGUAUGAGGAGUAGUUCAAUCUCUUGUAUGAUUUAAUCUCACACCAAUGUGAAAUUUUUUCCUCACAUCCUCACAAUGUAUACGUGUAGAUCGAGUCAUAGAUUUUUCUCAAGCAAGCUUCCGUUGAUGGCGUCCAUUUAUUAACAACGCAAAUAAAUAGUUAUUAGUUGUUUUAACUUUUUUCAACAUGCAAUAAUUAAUUUAGGUGGCUUAAUAGGUUCUCCAUACUGAUAAAGAACUAAUAAGAUAAAAAUUUUAUUUUCUCCCCUUUAGAUUUUCUACAUUAGAAAACAAUUUUAGUGAAAGUUUCGACAAAUGUCUCAUGCAUAGUUCAUGCAUAAUGUCAUUUUAUUUUAUUUUAAAAUAUACGAUUCUAAUAUAAAUAAGAGAAAGCAGGCUUUAAUUAGGCUAUGUUUUGAGUGAAAUACAAAUGAGGAAGACAUAAAGCUAAACUUCGUUGAUGGAAAUAACAUAUAUAGCAAGUAACACGAUAGGGGAACUCCAUUUACAAAGAAAACAUAUGAUAAUCAUCUAAAAUAAUAGUUGGUAGAAGUAGAAAGAUCAUGAAUAUAAGAAAACGUUGGACUGGAUCACCAGUAAUAUGGAUCGUGAUCUGCACAAAAAGUUAGCUAAGGCAUUGGCUACAUAGUUGCCCUCGCAAAAAAUAUGAAAACAAAAACAUGCAUAUGCCUAACCGGCCACAAGCAAUUGCUCCAAUCAACAUGCAAAUACCAAGGAGUAAUAGAACUAGAAGAGUUUACGUAGUGAAUCACCAUAGUUGAGUCUAUCUCCAACCAAAUGUGAUUAACUUUCAAGUUCCAAUGAAAUUUAGGUCAAGUGAGAAAAAAAACUACUUUACAAAGUUGUAGCGCUUGUUUAUAAGUGCUAAUAAAGUGACUAAAAACGCUUUUAAUAAAAAUGUUGUUUAGACCAAUUAUGAGUAAAAAUACAAGUGAAACCUUAAAAAGCAGUUGAAGUGCUUCUUACGUAAUUUGGCUGUUGUGGUAGUGGAACAAUAGAAACAGGUAUAUUGUGAAGCCAAUUCAGUUCGUUCGCAUGUACAAAUUUGUCUAUAUAAUGUUUGUAUUCACUUCACCCGAUCGACAGAAAGAGCUGCCGGUGCAGGAAACGUUGCUUCGCAGAUUCUUCAAAAAUACUUCAAAAUUAUGGUUUCUUGAUGCCGCCCUCUGUAUCUCAGUGGUCUCCACGUGUCAAACUCUCUAUUGGUCUAAUUCAUAUCGAUAGCAUCUAAACAUGUUUUUGCUCCGAAUAUUUACCUGUGAAUGAUUUCAAGAAGCUAUAGACAAUUCUCGUUUCUCUUGUUAAUAUGUCUGAUUUCUUUGUUUCAUAUAACAAAACCAUGUCGACCUAAAUCAUAAAGAAACGCAUAACUCUUUGAUCAACCUAAGUCCAGAACAAAUCAAUUUACAAAUCGUUAUUCCAAGCAGGGAAUUUGAAGGGUUUUAUUCAUUUGUAAAGAUAUAAUGAAUUGUCUCAGAUGAAGUGGCUGGUAUAAUUGUCUAGAAUCUGCUUCACAAUGAUGUUGUACGCUCUUUCGGUUGGAUGGUAGCUGUCCCAGAAAACAUACUUAGAGUCAUCUAUGCAGACUCCUGCAGGUUGGAGCUGGUUGCAUAGUUUUGUUACUUCAAUGGUGCCAGUACCACAACACCCUUUAUUCGCAACUUCAAACCCUGCCGGCAUGGAUCAACACAAACAAAUAAAUAUUUACUAAUUUAUAAGAAAUAUAAUGGAGCUAGCUAGGUAGAGUAAAUGAAGCACCAUACCGUAUUUAGCGGGGUUUAUGAUUAGAUCGAGUAGCGAAUUGUAGAUGUCAAUGUAGACCACUCUCAAGUUUAGCAGGUUUUUGUUAAGGUGGUCCAUCUCCACAAAGAGCUUGGAAUUGAACAACUGUGAUGCUUGGUUUUGUUUUUCGUCACAAUCUCUUUGUAUGCCUCCUUUUACCGUUCGUUGAGAAGGUACACAUCCGAUAGGUGGUGCACUU
rnacentral:lncRNA from 1 species